rnacentral:misc_RNA from 1 species
UGUGGGAGCGGGCUUGCCCGCGAUUGCGAUGUCACAUUCAACAUAGAUGUUGACUGUGAUGACGCCAUCGCGGGCAAGCCCGCUCCCACA